rnacentral:rRNA from 1 species
GACGAACGCUGGCGGCGUGCUUAACACAUGCAAGUCGAACGAAGAGCGAUGGAAGCUUGCUUCUAUCAAUCUUAGUGGCGAACGGGUGAGUAACGCGUAAUCAACCUGCCCUUCAGAGGGGGACAACAGUUGGAAACGACUGCUAAUACCGCAUACGAUCUAAUCUCGGCAUCGAGGAUAGAUGAAAGGUGGCCUCUACAUGUAAGCCAUCACUGAAGGAGGGGAUUGCGUCUGAUUAGCUAGUUGGAGGGGUAACGGCCCACCAAGGCGAUGAUCAGUAGCCGGUCUGCGAGGAUGAACGGCCUCGUUGGGACUGGGACACGGCCCAGACUCCUACGGGAGGCAGCAGUGGGGAAUCUUCCGCAAUGGAAGAAAGUCUGACGGAGGAACGCCGCGUGAGUGACGACGGCCUUCGGGUUGUAAAGCUCUGUUAAUCGGGACGAAAGGCCUUCUUGCGAACAGUGAGAAGGAUUGACGGUACCGGAAUAGAAAGCCACGGCUAACUACGUG